UACAGAGGGUGCAAGCGUUGUUCGGAAUUAUUGGGCGUAAAGCGCGUGUAGGCGGCUUGUUAAGUCGGGUGUGAAAGCCCUCAGCUCAACUGAGGAAGUGCGCCCGAAACUGGCGAGCUUGAGUGUCGGAGAGGAUGGCGGAAUACCCCAAGUAGAGGUGAAAUUCGUAGAUAUCGGGAGGAACACCAGUGGCGAAGGCGGCUUCCUGGACCAGAACUGACGAUCAGGCUCGAAAGCGUGGGGAGCAAACAGG
rnacentral:rRNA from 1 species